UAGGGAAUCUUCGGCAAUGGACGAAAGUCUGACCGAGCAACGCCGCGUGAGUGAAGAAGGUUUUCGGAUCGUAAAACUCUGUUGUUAGAGAAGAACAAGGACGUUAGUAACUGAACGUCCCCUGACGGUAUCUAACCAGAAAGCCACGGCUAACUACGUGCCAGCAGCCGCGGUAAUACGUAGGUGGCAAGCGUUGUCCGGAUUUAUUGGGCGUAAAGCGAGCGCAGGCGGUUUCUUAAGUCUGAUGUGAAAGCCCCCGGCUCAACCGGGGAGGGUCAUUUGAAACUGGGAGACUUGAGUGCAGAAGAGGAGAGUGGAAUUCCAUGUGUAGCGGUGAAAUGCGUAGAUAUAUGGAGGAACACCAGUGGCGAAGGCGGCUCUCUGGGCUGUAACUGACGCUGAGGCUCGAAAGCGUGGGGAGCAAACAGG
rnacentral:rRNA from 1 species